UAAGCCAGUGCUGUUGAACUAAAUUCGUUGUUUGAAAAUAUUCCACUAACAAUUUAAUGUUAUAAGAAAAACCGUCGCUUAUUCCAACUUCUUCUCAAAGUGCUACCAAAGCAUUAGAUUGUUGUAUUCCAGCACUUUGGGUACAACUAAUCUGAUUUUUUAAGAACAUGGAACAUGAUAGAGGAGAUAGUGGGUGCUGUGUUGUAGUUUCAGCGAGGAGAUAGUGGGCGUUGUUCCGUGCACAUUUGAAGAUUUGGACAAAGGGGAGAUUGAUUGCACGAAACAGGGUUGGACCAGCGUUUUGCUGAGGGCAGUAAAACAAAUACCUCCAACUUGCAUUGCCGAGAAAACAUCUUUAUCUCCAACUUGCAAUGCUGGAUAAACAAGAUGGGAGACAUGGACGAUAAAUCACUCGUCAGACUGGAAACUCUACCCGUCCUCAACUCACUGAGAGGAAACAGCGCCAAAUCCGACACUGCAACAAAGAUGUAGCAAGCCAUGACAAGUAAAGCUAUGAGGAAAACCCAACCAGUGCAAUGAAUGCAAGGAAAAGGGGCAUCAAGGAAGCCCAAUGGAGUGAACUUAUGACAACGAUCGAGGAGUCACCAUCCACCUCUCAAAGCGAGAAGAGAUUAUUGGACAGCUUCCCAAGUUGGUAAUAACAAGGUAGUUGCUUCAGGAAUUUGAUUUUAUCCACGAUAGACUUGGGCAUCAAGGAGCAGUCUGGAGAAGUCCAGAGGUUUGUUGUAGAUCGCCUGAGCAGAGUCAACGAUUACCCUUGUGGCACGCCUAGUUCAAGUGGAACUUUCAUCCCAGAUGAACGAACGUAUUCCACGAUUCUCCAUUGACCAAAAAGGCCGCACAACCAGUAUGCGUAACCCCCUCUGUUUACUUGUUUGCCCCUUCCUACCUAAACCUUUUGCCAGAGUUAGACCGCUGAUACGUGCAUUCUGAUUAGUGAAUAGGUUAGUAAAUAAAGUGGAAAUAUUUGUAUGUAAUAUACAUGGCGUGGGCUGUCCCAUCAUUCGUGAGGAGUUAGAUUAGUGAAAGUAGUGAUCUACCCAACUGCGUUUGAUAGACAUAAAAGUGACCCUCAAUUGCAUGUAGGUACGGCUGCCUUGAAAUAAGCCCAGUAAGUAGUAUUCAACUCAAGUCGAACUCUGCUCUUGAGGAGUAGAUAUAAUCGUCCUCCAAUUCGUCUCUAUUGUCAAAUAUUGUAGUGAUUGCCCUAUUAGGGUAAGAACUGGAGGCCUUAAGAUAGGUCUAAGAAAUUGAAGCCCAUGUACUAGGUGUUCUCCAUCUCAGAGAGCUAUCAAGGUUUUCCACUUAGUGUUUGAGUCAAAACUAUGUAUGUAAAUCACGUCCAGUGUGGGAUUCAAUGUCUGGACGGAAUAGGUUUGGUGUUGUAGUUUCAGCGAGGAGAUAGUGGGUGUGGUGUUGUUGUUUGAGGCGACGGUUCUCGUUGGGGUUGGUGGGUAAAACUUGGCCGUUCUAAGUAAUAAACUUGCGCAACCGACAAUGAAAUCCUUGCCGGGCCUUUCUACAUCCAGCUCUUGCACUUUCACUGGGAUGAAGCUUCCUUAUGAGGAGUGAGUCUCGGUUUCCCGACGCCGCCAUGUAGCCCCUUCAAACUUGUCCGAUAGCUACCCCUCGAACUAAGGCAGAAACGGAAGAUCUUAAAUUUUUGUUUGUUGUUUUGUUUUGCUCUGUAGGCUUGGUCAAGCCCAAGUAAUUCUUCGGGUUUUUUUAUCGUCAAUCGAGUUUUUAGCUCCAAAAGAUUAAGUUUAGGCGCUGACCAUCUGGUCACCCUGUCUUUUUCUCAUGUAGAUGAAAUUGACUUAUACAAACAGCUUUCUUUGCCUUUUGAGAAGUAAGCGGUUAAAGAAACAGCAGGCUUCAUUGUGGGGAGCAAAAUUGAAAACAACCUGACCAGUCAAGCUAGAGCGUGCAUCCGUUUAAUUUUGACAUUUGAUAUAAAGAUUAAAAAAACAUAAAAAUAAUCAUUUGAUUCUUGAAAAUUCAGUGAAUAUUACACACUGGCUAUGACGUUUGCCUUAGUUAUCCCUCCAAGAAAUGCUACAUUUUUCGCAUAUUUCCUUCACUUCACUUGCUCCCAAUCAAGCUUUCUUCUUUUUCUUUUGCGAGCUCAAAGCAAAUGUUUCCACCAUUAACAGCGAUCCAGAGUGGCUUACAAUGCAACUUUCAAAGGAAAUCUACGACAGAGUCAAACUACAAGUGAUCAUCAAAACCUUUCAAGGUGGAAUAUGCAUUGAAAAUAUAGAAUCCGGCCAUUCCAUCAUAAUCAGACGAGUCUAUUUCUCAUGAGUAGUGGAAUUCCUCAUGGAAUGUUUGAGUUACUUCCCAAACCAAGUGAAUUGGUCCCUUCCGGCUCUAACAUUGGAGGAGAGUGUCACUCGUAUUAACAUCAUUUCAUGGUAACUCCGAUUCUCUGCCACUGGUGUGAAAGACGACAAAUCCACCUAGAGGAGAGACCGAACGAAGAGUAUCCCUUGAUGAGUGACGAUACUGGGCCAAUCCAGUAAUUGGAAUCAAUGAGUGAUGUCCAAGCGUGGUGCCGCUCUUUUUCUGCUUCCCUGUCGGCAUGUCUACCUAUGACGUAAAUGGAAGAGUUUAUUUUUCAUCCUGUCAUUGUAUUUUACCAAAAAAGGACAUUCGUGAUCAUAACUUUUCCCUGUUUGACGUUGUUCUCUUUGAUCUCCUCCAGCAUUGUCAACCAAAUCAUGGCCAAAAUUCAGUUAUACGUUCCAAACGUGACCAACAGGCCGACUAACCUGGACGUAGUUAACACAUUGAGGACUAAAAUUGAUCUCCCGGAAGUGAUUUGGAAUCUUACUUUGAUUGGCACAGCUUGACGAGAAGACCUAUAAUUGACAACAGUACAUUCUUGGAAUGAUUUAUUCCCUCUGCUUCAAGAAUUUCAUGGAAGUGCUCCAAAAUAUAUCUUUGGGAAGUUGUCCAAGCCGGGUCCCAGCACCUCAAUUGUGAAUUCCAUUGCAGAAAUUUGCAAUGUCUUUUUUCUAUGGCAAGAAAACUCAAGGGAUAUCUAUCCAGUCACGGAAUACAUAUAUCUGCGAAGUCACAUGGGAGUGAAUCACAGGUUGGUCCUUCCUUGGAGGCAACCUGAUUGCUGGAGUGGCCAUUGUUUUGGAAGCUCAAAUGUUCAUGUUGCAAAAGAUAACUGCAUUAAUGCAAAGGAAUGUAAAUGCGUUGGGAAUAGCCCCGGUUGCCUUUUUCUCAGUUACCACAAAACACUUGAUCCUCCUGAGGUAGGGAGCUUGAUUUUGGGCCAUUUAAGUCCGGACUCGAGUUCUUUCUAAAUUAAAUGACUCGAGUCCGGCUAAUUUCUCCAUAAUCACGUAAAAGACUUGAGUGCACUCGAGCUUGAGUCUGGGCUCGCCUCAGUACUAAUAUUGAAACAUAAAAACACUAAUGUUGUCCCUGUCUCUUUCUCUAACGAGAAAAGAGGAAGGGAGCAUGAUACCAACGGAUCCUGUCCCUUGCCACAAAAGAGCGAGGAAGUAUGACGCCAACGAAUCCUGUCCUCCUCUUCCAAAAGAGCUAAGGAAGGAUCAUACACACUCAUGCUGUCCCUGUUCAGGACCGAAUGAGUGUGUAUCAUACUGCUGUCUCGCCUAUUGGUUCAGUGAUAUUGGUAAGAUAUCUAUUCAUGUAAUGAGAAGCAAGUAAUUUCCAUUCUUUCACUCUUCUCUCUGAAAAGGACAAGACAAUGGAAGAUGGGUGUCCCAAUUGAGAUAUCUUCCUGCUUCGUCAUCACAGUCAACAUUAAUAAUUACCUCACCCUCGGCAAUGACCGCAGAUUCACCCAUUUAAGCUAUUAAAGCAGCACGUUAUACCGUAAUUAUAUACCGCAAAGAAGCUUGCACUGGCAUUCCCUGGGAUCGAAACAGGAUUCGCAAAUUGGAACGCAGUUUUUCUACCACUACGGUACCCCAGCAAGCCCUAUAUAAGAAAAGAUAAGAUGCGAUAAAAAUACUGGUACAAACAUAAGCACGAAAAAAUUAGAUGAAUAGUGAUCGCAAACAAUAGAUUAAAAUAAUGAUAUCAAACGAAAAACAUAGCAUUACAAGCUCAAUAAAUAUAUAUGAUUUAAUUAUAGAUUUACUUGCCGAUCAGCAAACAAGUUUUCAUCCGUUUCAGUAACGACAUGGCACUGAAUGGAAUGAAAUUUCGCUCAAUGACCUUAGGGUCGACAUCAUUAGACAUUCCACUAUUAGAUGAUGAAGGUACUACUAAGUCUCGUCUCUUGAUCUGGUUAGACUUGAUUCGAGCGUUACAGACCUCUGGCUUCAGGACUACGCAUCACAGACUUCGAAGGAGGAAGUCCCCUCGACUUCCAAGCCUGGCAAAAGCAAUGCCAAAAUGUCAGCGGUGCCUGUGGAUCUAUGACUCAAACAAUGUGGAUAUGAGCGCUACAUCACGCCAUUGGUGGACCUUAUGUAUAAUGAUAUGUCGUUGGCCUGUAUACAAACCCUGUGUUAGAAUGAUCAAGAAGUAAGA